rnacentral:rRNA from 1 species
AUUGAACGCUGGCGGCAUGCCUUACACAUGCAAGUCGAACGGUAACAGGUCUUCGGAUGCUGACGAGUGGCGAACGGGUGAGUAAUACAUCGGAACGUGCCCGAUCGUGGGGGAUAACGAAGCGAAAGCUUUGCUAAUACCGCAUAAGAUCUACGGAUGAAAGCAGGGGACCGCAAGGCCUUGCGCGAACGGAGCGGCCGAUGGCAGAUUAGGUAGUUGGUGGGAUAAAAGCUUACCAAGCCGACGAUCUGUAGCUGGUCUGAGAGGACGACCAGCCACACUGGGACUGAGACACGGCCCAGACUCCUACGGGAGGCAGCAGUGGGGAAUUUUGGACAAUGGGCGAAAGCCUGAUCCAGCCAUGCCGCGUGCAGGAUGAAGGCCUUCGGGUUGUAAACUGCUUUUGUACGGAACGAAAAGACUCUGGUUAAUACAUGGGGUCCAUGACGGUACCGUAAGAAUAAGCACCGGCUAACUACGUG